UACAGAGGGUGCAAGCGUUAAUCGGAUUUACUGGGCGUAAAGCGUGCGUAGGCGGUUCAUUAAGUCGGUUGUGAAAUCCCUGGGCUUAACCUGGGAAUGGCAUUUGGGACUGCAAGGCUUGAGUGCGGCAGAGGAGACUGGAAUUCCUGGUGUAGCAGUGAAAUGCGUAGAUAUCAGGAGGAACACCGAUGGCGAAGGCAGGUCUCUGGGCUGACACUGACGCUCAUGCACGAAAGCGUGGGGAGCAAACAGG
rnacentral:rRNA from 1 species